GGAAAAACAACAACAACAACAACAUGUUUUUUUGGAGAGAAGCAUGGGGGGAAGCAAAAUGCUGCUGCUCUGCUUUCUGGGGUGGAGGCUUCGGAGCCUUCUCCGAAAAGACAAUGGAGCGCAGAAUGGACUCAGGUGGAGGGGAGAGGAGGAGGAAGCAAACCUCGAAGGGAGAUUAAAAUCACCAAGUGGGCAAACGAGGCCGUCCUGCUCACAGUGAUAUUAUCAGGAUUCCUGCGGAAGCAGCCGCUGUGGGGUGAGGUGGAUGGAUGGAGCUGCUCCUAUGGGACACCGCGGGGAGGAAACCUGGGGC
rnacentral:lncRNA from 1 species